GAUGAACGCUGACAGAAUGCUUAACACAUGCAAGUCGAUGGGGAAGUGGUGCUUGCACCAUGGUAACCAUGGCGGACGGGUGAGUAACGCGUAAGGAACUUGCCUGCGGGACUGGGAUAGCAGCAGGAAACUGCUGAUAAUACCGGAUAAGGUCAUUAAGCUGCAUAGCUUAGUGAUGAAAGGAGACGCCUGCGGAGAGCCUUGCGUCCUAUUAGCUAGUUGGAGGGGUAACGGCCCACCAAGGCGAAGAUAGGUAGCCGGCCUGAGAGGGUGGACGGCCACAAGGGGACUGAGACACGGCCCUUACUCCUACGGGAGGCAGCAGUGGGGAAUAUUGGACAAUGGGGGCAACCCUGAUCCAGCAAUUCUGUGUGCACGAAGACGGUUUUCGGAUUGUAAAGUGCUUUCAGCAGGGAAGAAGGAAGUGACGGUACCUGCAGAAGAAGCGACGGCUAAAUACGUG
rnacentral:rRNA from 1 species